UUGCUUCACAUACGCUACAUGGUUUGCACUUAGAGGAUUGGCUGCAGUUGGCCAGACUUACAACAAUUGUCCAGCUAUGCGCAGAGCUGUUGAUUUUCUACUUUAAGCACAAAGAGAUAAUGGUGGUUGGGGAGAGAGCUAUCUUUCAUGCCCAAACAAGGAAUAUGUACCUCUUGACGGAAACCAAUCAAAUUUGGUACAUACUGCAUGGGCAAUGAUGGGUCUCAUCCAUGCUGGACAGGCUGAAAGAGACCCAACACCUCUUCACCGUUCAGCAAAGCUCAUAAUUAAUUCUCAACUGGAAGAUGGCGAUUUUCCUCAACAGG